rnacentral:rRNA from 1 species
UACGGGAGGCAGCAGUGAGGAAUAUUGGUCAAUGGUCGAGAGACUGAACCAGCCAAGUAGCGUGCAGGAUGACGGCCCUAUGGGUUGUAAACUGCUUUUAUACAGGGAUAAAGUAGGGAACGUGUUCCCUUUUGCAGGUACUGUAUGAAUAAGGACCGGCUAAUUCCGUGCCAGCAGCCGCGGUAAU